UGGGGAAUUUUGGACAAUGGGCGCAAGCCUGAUCCAGCAAUGCCGCGUGCAGGAUGAAGGCCUUCGGGUUGUAAACUGCUUUUGUACGGAACGAAAAGCUUCUGGUUAAUACCUGGGAGUCAUGACGGUACCGUAAGAAUAAGCACCGGCUAACUACGUGCCAGCAGCCGCGGUAAUACGUAGGGUGCGAGCGUUAAUCGGAAUUACUGGGCGUAAAGCGUGCGCAGGCGGUUAUGUAAGGCAGAGGUGAAAUCCCCGGGCUCAACCUGGGAACUGCCUUUGUGACUGCAUGGCUAGGGUGCGGCAGAGGGGGAUGGAAUUCCGCGUGUAGCAGUGAAAUGCGUAGAUAUGCGGAGGAACACCGAUGGCGAAGGCAAUCCCCUGGGCCUGCACUGACGCUCAUGCACGAAAGCGUGGGGAGCAAACA
rnacentral:rRNA from 1 species